ACCACCUGAUCCCAUCUCGAACUCAGAAGUGAAACGGUGUAUCGCCGAUGGUAGUGUGGGGCUUCCCCAUGCGAGAGUAGGUCACCGCCAGGU
rnacentral:rRNA from 1 species